rnacentral:rRNA from 1 species
CACACCAUAAACCUUUUGAGCAGUUGCAAUCAGCGUCAKUAUAACAAAUGUAAAUCUUACWACUUUCAACAACGGAUCUCUUGGUUCUGGCWYCSAUGAAGAACGCAGCGAAAUGCGAUACGUAGUGUGAAUUGCAGAAUUCAGUGAAUCAUCGAAUCUUUGAACGCAUUGCGCCCUUUGGUAUUCCAAAGGGCAUGCCUGUUCGAGCGUCAUUUGUACCCUCAAGCUUUGCUUGGUGUUGGGCGUCUUUUGUCUUUGGCCUCGCCCAAAGACUCGCCUUAAAACGAUUGGCAGCCGGCCUACUGGUUUCGCAGCGCAGCACAUUUUUGCGCUUGCAAUCAGCACAAGGACGGCAAUCCAUCAAGACUACAUUUUUACGUUUGACCUCGGAUCAGGUAGGGAUACCCGCUGAACUUAAGCAUAUCAAUAAGCGGAGGA